UCCGAUCCGUGCACAGCCCUAGCCAACGCCCACACCUCAUCUCCCUGAAACCAAUCCACUACCAAGCCCGCCGCAAAUCCGGCGAAAGCUUCCGGUACCUCUCAAUUCCGACACUGAACACACACGAACAAAGAUGGAAGAUUAAGGGCAGCCACGCCUGAUAUCACACCAAAUCCAACCAAAACAGAGCAAAAAAGCUGCUGUAAAUCCAGCCGCAAACGACACUAAAAGAGACUCGAACCCUUUCCUCCUCUUCCUCCAAAAAUCAACUCAAACCAACCACUCAAGAAUCCACCAUUAGAAGCAGCGAAACAAGCUGCAAAUAGCUCUCAAAUCGUUCAAGUAUGAGCAACUUUUUGAUCGUGGUUCGAGUCGCUAAAGUUGGGUCCGAUUGUCGUCGAGUUCGUUGGAGUUUCCGUUCGUUAGCUUCAGUACUGGUUAAGAUGGAUAAUGAGCAAUACAGCCCAGUUUCAGUUCUUGAAUCUCCAUUUCAAGAAGAAGAUGAAGAAGGAAUUGCCUUCUCUUUCCACCGAAACCUUGCUAAUUUAGAGAGUAAGUUUCAAUCUCCAAACAUAGUACUAUAAUACUCCAAUAAUAAAUAUCACAGUUUUAGAAAUGGGUGGUCUUUAUUAUAUUGAGUAUAAGGUCUGUAUAUUGACAAGAUUCAUAUACCAUUGAGUUAAAUUAACCUACCAUAAGAGGUGGCUUUUCCUAACAAUAAGCUUAAUAAGACAACCUACAAGAUAAAGUAAUAACCUGUUAUAGCCGACUAAUGGUUGCUAUAGUGUAAAAUUUCUACUAUCAGUAUAUAGUAAAUAAUUUAUUCUUAGACUAACACACCUAAUUUAUUUACAAGUUCUGUUUUGUUAAGAAAAAAUUCUGCACAAUCAAGAAUGCAUUGUUUUUCUGAUUGUUUUCACCAUGUCAUAUUUAUUUGGUUUAUAUAUAUUAUGGAUAUAAAUCAGUCGAAGUAACAACAAUUUUAUCUUAUCCAUUAGAGAGAGGACAAGCUGAAUUCUCUUACUGAUUCAACGUAAGUAGUAAAGCUUAUUAUCGCUUCCAAAUUUAUUUACACAGAUAGAUUCUCGAGGUAAAAAAAAAAAAUUAAGAAGAAGAAAUACACUUUACCUAGAUAAGUCAGCUUCCUCCACCUAUACCAAAUAUGAGCCCUCUUGCUAUGCCUCUUCGUCCUUCCAUGCCAGCUUCACAGUCCUCU
rnacentral:lncRNA from 1 species